CAAGACUAGCAGUUGAAGCUGCCAGCAUGAUCUAAACUACCCUCUACGUAGGGAAGAUCAGAUCAUGCGGCAGUUUCACCCGCUGAUGGC
rnacentral:pre_miRNA from 1 species